rnacentral:lncRNA from 1 species
GAGCUUAAGAGACAAGCUGCAGGCCAAUGAAAGAUCACAUCUCCUGAGAAACACAUGAAGUUGACAUCUGACCCCCCCCCCCACACACACACAUGCAGACAUUUUCAUACUUAUGGAAAAUUUGCAAAGAUUUUAUUGUGAAGUAAUGCAACAUUCAUGACAUAAAUAAUUUUUAAGUGACAGUUGAUUUAUCUUCCACUGUCAUGCUAAGACUUUAGAGUUCUGUCCAAUAUACAAGCUCAUGCUAAAGUCUCAGUGGAUUUAGUAAGACUUAUAUGACUAUAUAGAAAGUGCAUUCAUUCUCAUAACCUGUGUUUUCCCCCCCAGAAUGGACUCACAAUUGCUGAUGUAUAGGUUCUAAUGUUUUCUAUUGUGGACACGGGACACCCAGACUGAGAACCAAUGGCUCCAGUCUGAUUUAAACAUGGGUCCGUGCUCACACACUCAAUACCUACCCUCUGUGCUCACAAGUCCUGUGUGAGUAAGACUCCAAAUUAUUCUGUCUUGUUUUACUCAAUGGUAUGCUCUACCUUAUUAUAGAGUAUACCAUGUAUUGAGACAAGAAUGCCAGUCAUUCUGAGAAACAAAAUGCAACCAUUAGUUGUCAUUUUAAUUAGUGACGAAUAGUUGUGUCAAUCAUCAAACAUGCUUGUAUAAUUGGAUGAGAAGAGGUGUAACACGGGCCAAUGAUGACGAGGUUUCGGGAUUAUAAGUCACGGACGAUGACUACGUCACUAGAGGUCUGAGGUCCAUAGCAGAAGAUGCCUCAUGUGACCCUCUCAUGCAGGGGUUGCAUGUCAGGCAUGUGCAUACAGUAGAUAUUAGCCAUGCACUCUCACCAUUUCAUAGUAGAUCACAGAAUCAAGAUACAAAUCUCCAUGCACGGAAAGGAUUUAAGGCAUUGAUCAAUCCUGAACAUAAAUAUUUGGCCAUCAAUGAUAUUUACGCACACACUGAAAAAUCUAUUCAGAAUGACUUACACAAAGGUUUAUAUAACCUUUAUCAAAGGUAAUUUAUAUAGUAAGAUUCAUGGCUGAAGUCUUCAUGAUGGUCAAGGCCUUAAUUUUUAAAAUUAUCAAUUUUUUUCUUUUCUUUUUUUUUAACUUGAAUUUUUUUUUAAUGAAAACUAUCAUGACAAUUUGUCUCUUAAAUGAAAGGAGAAAUGUAAAACUAAAUGGACAAAUAUCAACCUUUUUAUUAUCUUUGCUGUUGUGCCCUCCCUGGAUGGGUGCUGGCACAUGAUGUCUUGCCUGCUGGUCCGUGGUUGCACUCUCACCAUGUGGAUGGAGCUCGGCAGCUGAAAAUGCAUUCUUCCACCAAGAUGAUUUACACAGCCUAGCUGGAUCAGGAGCCCCCUAAUAAGCUGCUUCAGAUUGUAAUAUAGACACAGUAAUGUAUGCCUGCAGGAUGAGUCCCACCUUCUUCAUUAGUCUUGAGGUUUGAGAUUCCCUGUUUGUGUCUGCAGGAUUCAGAUAGUAAUGGAUAUCCUGCAAGUCGGCUUCGUAGAGUCUCCCUUGAAAGUGGACCUCAUGAUCUAGCCUUUAUGUCCGUGGAUUGACACUGUGAUGGAUUCCCCCCAAGUUCAUUUAGAUAUUCUCUCUUAUUCAUAAAUGUCACGGUCAGCUCUGUUCUUAUAGAUACCAGAAUGGAUACCCCAAGCUGAUGUAUAUACACCCUUCCUCGGUUGUGAGAUUCCUGCUCUGGUGGUUGUAGUCAUAAGAUAUACAUCGUUGCGUACACCUUGGUUGUGGGCACGCACACUACUGUUGAAUUACCACCUUGUCCAAGUGGAUGGAUGCCCUCAAUGGGAUUGGCACUUUCUCCAUUGCUCC